rnacentral:rRNA from 1 species
GAUGAACGCUAGCGAUAGGCCUAACACAUGCAAGUCGAGGGGCAUCACAUGAAGUAGCAAUACGGAUGGUGGCGACCGGCGCACGGGUGAGUAACACGUAUGCAACCUGCCUUCAACAAGGGGAUAACCCGUUGAAAGACGGACUAAUACCCUAUAACACAGGGGUCCCGCAUGGGAAUAUUUGUUAAAGGACAACCGGUUGAAGAUGGGCAUGCGUUCCAUUAGCUAGUUGGCGGGGUAACGGCCCACCAAGGCAACGAUGGAUAGGGGAACUGAGAGGUUUAUCCCCCACACUGGUACUGAGACACGGACCAGACUCCUACGGGAGGCAGCAGUGAGGAAUAUUGGUCAAUGGACGCAAGUCUGAACCAGCCACGUCGCGUGAAGGAAGACGGCCCUACGGUUGUAAACUCUUUUGUAAGGGAAUAAAGUGUAGUACGCGUACUAUUUUGCAUGUACCUUACGAAUAAGGAUCGGCUAACUCCGUGCCAGCAGCCGCGGUAAUUCACUAUCG